UCGAAACCUAAUCCGAUAAGGAACAACCCGCGAACUAGUUAUCACACACGCGGUGCGCUGGAGACUCUAACCGGUCGUCACGCACGCGAAUCCGUGGGAUCGCGUUCGGCUCAUCGAGUGGUACUCGUAGGGUCGUCCGUUAUUCCGCGGAAAUCACCAAACCCCGGCGCGAGUAGCGUCAAGGACCAUUCAACGAAACAGCUCGCUCCGAACACCGCCCAUGCUGUGCGUGUUCGGAUGCGUGGUGCGAUCAUAAGUCUAAAAAGACUCUCGGCAACGGAUAUCUCGGCUCUCGCAUCGAUGAAGAACGUAGCGAAAUGCGAUACUUGGUGUGAAUUGCAGAAUCCCGUGAACCAUCGAGUCUUUGAACGCAAGUUGCGCCCUAAGCCGUCAGGUCGAGGGCACGCUUGCCUGGGUGUCACGCAUCGUCAUCUCCCAACACGUCUCGGCUUUCGCCCGGAUGAUCAAGGAGAAGGAGAUUGGUCUCCCGUGUGGUACCGCACGCGGUUGGCCUAAAAUCGAGACACGGGGGCGCGGAGCUUCCCGACGAGCGGUGGUBAGAAUGCCCUCCGUGAAAACGUCGGUUGCUUCCGUCCCGAUGCGCUCGUUGACCCUGUCAGUGUCGCCUCGGCGGCUCUUCGAACGCGACCCCAGGUCAAGCGG
rnacentral:rRNA from 1 species